rnacentral:rRNA from 1 species
GACGAACGCUGGCGGCGUGCUUAACACAUGCAAGUCGAACGAAGAGCGAUGGAAGCUUGCUUCUAUCAAUUUUAGUGGCGAACGGGUGAGUAACGCGUAAUCAACCUGCCCUUCAGAGGGGGACAACAGUUGGAAACGACUGCUAAUACCGCAUACGAUCUAAUCUCGGCAUCGAGGAUAGAUGAAAGGUGGCCUCUACAUGUAAGCUAUCACUGAAGGAGGGGAUUGCGUCUGAUUAGCUAGUUGGAGGGGUAACGGCCCACCAAGGCGAUGAUCAGUAGCCGGUCUGAGAGGAUGGACGGCCACAUUGGGACUGAGACACGGCCCAGGCUCCUACGGGAGGCAGCCGUGGGGAAUCUUCCGCAAUGGACGAAAGUCUGACGGAGCAACGCCGCGGGAGGGAUGACGGCCUUCGGGUUGUAAAGCUCUGUUAAUCGGGACGAAAGGCCUUCUUGCGAACAGUUAGAAGGAUUGACGGUACCGGAAUAGAAAGCCACGGCUAACUACGUG